AUGCCGACGGUAAAUAUCGUGGAGGUCGGCCACGUGAUCGUGCCACCGCCGGAGGACUUGGUACUCAGGCUAUCCGCGCUGGACGCGCCGUGGGUCGCGAUCCCGCUAAUCCAGCGCGUGCUCCUCUUCGUCGAUGACGCCGGCGGCCAGCAGCACCCGCCCUUCGAGUCGCUCGUGGGGUCCCUCCGUGCGUCCCUCGCGGCCACGCUCGCGCGGCUCCCCCCGCUCGCCGGGAGGGUCGUCUUCCUGCCGUCCACCGGCGACGCCGCCAUCGACUGCUCCGGCCGCGAGGGAGGCGGCGGCGUGCGGUUCGUCGUGGCGGAGAGCGACGACGCGGACGCGCGGCGGCUCGCGGGGGACGCGGACCACGACGUAGACGCGUUCGAGGCGCUCGUCCCGGAGCUCAAGGUGGAGGCGCUCCCCGCGGAGGUGCUGGCCGUGCAGGUCACGCGGCUGAAGGGCGGGGUGGCGGUCGGCGUGGCACUGCACCACGCCGUGGUCGACGGCCGGUCGAUGUGGAUGUUCCUGGAGGCGUGGGCCGCGGCCUGCCGCGGCGACGCUGCUGCCGUGGCUGACAUGACGUUCGACCGCGCGGUGGUGGCCCUCCCCGGCGGCGGCGGGGACCUCGCCAGGAGCAUGCUGCGCAAGUACGCGCCCAAUCUGCCGCUGGAAGCCAACCUGUUCCCAAGCACCCUAAUCAAACUCCCUCGUCGGACAUUCACCGUCACCGCGAAGCAAAUCCACCACCUGAAGCAAUGCAUGUCUGGCCACACGACCUCCGGGAAGGCCGCCACCACGCCUAUGUCAUCCAGCUUCGUAGCCAUCGCGGCGGUCGCCUGGGCAUCAUUCGUCCGGUCCAAGCACCCAUCCGUCAUCUCCACCAACCAUGACGUCUAUCUCUUCUUCUUCAUCGACUGUCGCGGGCGGCCUAGCAUUGACCCGCCCGUGAGCGAGAACUACUUCGGGACAUGCAUCACCGGGUGUCUUGUAAGGGCCAUGGCACAUGACCUCCUUGCUGUUGACGGUGUCGCAGCCGCCUCGGUGGCGAUUCAGCGGGAGGUCCGGCGAGCAGCGGAGGACCCGCUCGCCCUUUGGGACUGGCUGGACAUUGUAUCGUGGGUGCCACUCGACAAGAUGGUGAGCAUCAACGGGUCCACGCGGUUCAAGGCGUACGAGGUGGCCAACUUCGGGUGGGGCGCGCCGAGCAGGACGGAGUUGGUCACCAUGAGCGACGGGCGGGUAGUGCUUGUCGCCGCCAAGAACGGCGCAGUUCAAGCGUCCGUGUGCAUGCACCUGGAUCAUGGCAGCGCGUUCAGCUCGCACUUCCUUAGUUCUCUUGUUGAUUCAUGUGUAUGCAGUACGAUUUUCGAUGCAAAUUAA
rnacentral:rRNA from 1 species